AACGAACGCUGGCGGCAUGCCUAACACAUGCAAGUCGAACGAGACCUUCGGGUCUAGUGGCGCACGGGUGCGUAACGCGUGGGAACCUGCCCUUAGGUUCGGAAUAACUCCCCGACAGGGGUGCUAAUACCGGAUAAUGUCUUCGGACCAAAGAUUUAUCGCCUUUGGUUGGGCCCGCGUUGGAUUAGCUAGUUGGUAGGGUAAAAGCCUACCAAGGCGACGAUCCAUAGCUGGUCUGAGAGGAUGAUCAGCCACACUGGGACUGAGACACGGCCCAGACUCCUACGGGAGGCAGCAGUGGGGAAUAUUGGACAAUGGGCGAAAGCCUGAUCCAGCAAUGCCGCGUGAGUGAUGAAGGCCUUAGGGUUGUAAAGCUCUUUUAACCGGGAUGAUAAUGACAGUACCGGGAGAAUAAGCUCCGGCUAACUCCGUG
rnacentral:rRNA from 1 species